GGCAGAGUGGCCGAGUGGUCUAAGGCGCUAGUUUCUGGUACUAGUAUCUUCCGAUGCGUGGGUUCAAAUCUCACCUCUGUCA
rnacentral:tRNA from 1 species